CGCAGGAGGAGGCGUCGCCGCCGCCGGACUGCCGCGGAAGGCGUCUCGAUGUCUGGCGUCCGGCGGCCGGCCUGAUGACGUCGCAGAGCAGCGCGGUGGCCGCUGCGGCCGCCAACGGCCCGGCGCCUCCUCCUGAGUGGGCCUCGGCCAUGGGCGCGGCGUCUCUGUUGCCGCGGCGACUGCUUUCGGCCAACUUCCUGUCCGCCGAGGCCACCCCAUUAGGUACGCUUUUGAUUGGCGGCUGUCAUUCAACGGUAAGACCAUGGAUGUCUUCUGCUUUGAGCGGCAC